GGUGAUGAUGUUUGUGUUCCAUUUUAUUGAGAAAAUGUUCUGAAUGGUUUGAUUCUCCUUGAAGGUGUUUGGUGGAGGAUCAUCUAUGUUCCUGUGGGUUUAGCAGCACUCUCAGUCAUCACUGCAUCAGUCUGCACAUGGACCAGAACACAAGGUUCACUGAGUAAAGGUCUAGCAGCUGCCGCUUCUGCCGCCGCCGCCGCCGCCACUGGUACCUGAUGGUUCUGUCUUAAAGCAGGAUCACCUUUUCCUUUCUUCUGUUUGCUGGUUGGCCACAUUCUGUUCUAAUGCAGGUGUUUUGUGUGAUUGCUUUUGUGAUUCUGAAGGUAUUCACUGUUAGUCGUUGGGAUAAAUACAGAAUUAUUUUAUUUGCAUGGGUUUGGUAUGAAAAUGAUUGAAAGAAGCCAGUCUUAAAGAAGCAGAAUUACAACAAAAGUACACGUCUUAACACGUCAGAAUAAGGUUACACAUGGAUUAUUACAUCAUUAUCAAGUAAGCCCAUGAUGUCAAUCAAAAGAUAAAAAAAUGAAACUAAUUAUUCAUUCAUUGAUUUACAUACCACGCCUGUUCUACUGAGCAAGUUUUCUUACAUGGUUUUAAGGGGUUUUGCACAAUUACUAACAAAGAACUGUAAUAAAUUAUUUGGGCAUUAGUAAUAAUAAUAAUAAUAAUAAUACAUUUUAUUUCAAGCACCUUUCAGGUCACCCAGGGUCUCUGCAAUGUUAAAAAUAAGAAAAACAGAAUAAAACAUAAAUAAGAAAUUAGCAGAGUAAAACAUGAAUAAACUUAAAGACAUAAAACAGGAUAGAAAAACAGACAAAUGAAGUUGUGUUAACUGAAUGGAUUAACUAUAUGAUUCUUUGAAGAGAUGAGUCUUGAGUUUAGAUUUGAACAGUGGCACAGAGUCACUAUUGCAUAGAUCUGGAGGAAGAUAAUUCCAUAGUUGGGGGGCGGAGCCCCCAUGGUGGCAAGACAGCUAGGAGGGACAUGUAGUUGGAGAGAGGAAGAGGAGCGGAGAGAUCGGGAGGGAAUGGAAAUGUGAAGAAGAUCAGAAAUGUAGAGUGGAGCCAGGUUAUGGAGUGCUUUGAAGGUUAGGUAGGUGUUGAGGAUCAUUUGUCAGCUUUCCUCUGCUGCAGCGUCCUGUCUGUUUCUGACUGUCUUUUUUCCUCAUUUUCUUCUGCUCCAGUAAAGACUCCUCUACCACCAGAGUUGCUCGCUUUAGAACUAUCUCAAAGUAGAACGGUGCCAUCUUUAAGAAGAGUGCAGCAUAAAACCUACACAGUUGUUGGAAGAACCCCGGCUCAGUCUGCCGCUCCUCCUGCUCACUUUCAGCCAACGCUUGCUGCUCCACCACUUCCAUGCUAGGACCAAGAUGUUAGCAGCUGGAACUGCUCUCCCUAGCAGAGGAUCUGGAUGAAAACAGAGAUGGAAGCCUUGGCACUCUGGCCUGGGACUCCACCUGUGAGACAUGCCAUUAAAAUGAUCUCUGUGUGGUGUAACCCACCUCAGAACAUCAUUUACCGUAAAACUAUUGGAGACCCAGCAGCUGUGGCAUAAUCUCACUGAAGGAAGUGAAACUGUCACUGUGCCAGUUGUGACUCUCCCACUUGCUUCAGUGAACCCCCCCAGCAUUAAACCAGAUGAAGCUCCUCUAACCCUUGUGCUAUCCUAGGCACUUUACCAUUGGUAGUUGGGUCAUCUAGACCCACUAGACAGUGCUCUGAACCUUUUUUCCUCAAUGAUUUGUGAUCUUCACUGGUGUCCAUGGAUUACAUGAAAUCUUUCCACCUUUAUCCACCUUUGUCAUGGUAGGGAGAACACGUCAAUGUAAGGGUGGGGUCAUCUAAGGUAGCACAAGGGUUAACUAAGACUGACGUUGAAAAAAUGGUGAAGGAGAUUGUAGGGAUGCAGCUACAACAGCAGAAACCUGGUAAAAAGAUGACACACAACUGUCUUUUUUGAGGGAUGCCUCGUUACCUCAGGGAUGGAUCUUAUGUUCAUUUAUUUUUUCAGUCUGGGGAUGUAAAAUACUUCUACUGCUCCCAAAAAGUACAUCAGAUCGAUGCAGCAGAAGGCCUUACCAGCCCCAAGAUUAGAUUUGAAGACUACAAAUGUUAUCCUUCAUUGUGAAAGUAUUUGUAACUCAGUUUGUGAAAUCUAUUUUGUGAAUACGGUUUUCGUACAUUUUUAUUCUUGAAUUGUUUAGUUUUGAUAGAAAAAGCAAAAAUAUUUAAUACUUCCUCAAUUUAUUUUACAUCUUUAAAGUUCUUGUAUUCAUUUUUUGAAUGUUUAAAUCCUUAUGCCCUUUAAUUCUAAAUACAUGGUUGAACAUUUCGAUACAUUUUGUAUUGUAUACUGUUUAUUUAUUUAUUGCAUGUUAAUAUCUUAAUAAAGCA